AAUCAACGCUGGCGGCGUGCCUCAGACAUGCAAGUCGAACGAUUAAGACUCCCUUCGGGGAGUGCAUAAAGUGGCGCACGGGUGAGUAACACGUAAGUAAUCUACCCUCGGGUGGGGAAUAACGUCCGGAAACGGACGCUAAUACCGCAUAAUGCAGCGGCACCGCAAGGUGACAGUUGUUAAAGAUUUAUUGCCUGGGGAGGAGCUUGCGGCAGAUUAGCUUGUUGGUAAGGAACGGCUUACCAAGGCUACGAUCUGUAUCCGGUCUAAGAGGACGGUCGGACACACUGACACUG
rnacentral:rRNA from 1 species